CAAGACGGCAGCCAAGUAAACGGGAGCACCAGCACCAACACGUUGAGCAUAAUUACCCUUACGCAACAAACGAUGAACACGACCGACAGGGAAGGCCAAACCAGCCUUAGCGGAACGAGAUUGAGCAGACUUGGCGACUGCGGCCUUACCACCAGAUUUACCUCCAGACAUGCUUGAUAAAGAAAUUACUUAAGUUUUAAAUUGGAAUAAUGUAUGCAGGAUUGCUCAAUUGCCCAAUAUUUAGAGAAGAAGAAGAUGAUGCAGCGACAAGCUCUUUUAUAUACAGCAAUAUACAGGGUUAGGGUUUUGAUGGAUGUUUAUGGGCAUUCAUCACUGAAUGAUAGCAGACUCGUUUCAGUGAUAUUAUACUCAGCAUUUGGAACGCACAACGAAUUUCGUUAAGUAUAUUUAGGGAAUAUAUAAAAGACACAGUAACUAUGAUUAGAACGAUUGUAUACUACCUUAUAAUAUAUGAUCCUGCAAAUUCGUCGAAUGUAUUUAGUUAGACAUAAUUAAAAUUCAAUCAAUAUAUGUACAUAUUUAUGAUUUUAUUAAACUAAGUAUACUCUUAAUUUUACGGAAAAAGAAAAGUCUGCUACUAAAUAUCGACCAUCGUAGUUUAAACUAAAUAUAACAGGACGUGCAAAAGUACAAAAAGCUUUGUUUUAAAAGAACUUUCUGAGAAAAGGUAAAACACAUCAAUUCCAGAGCAAAGUUUAGUAGAGAGCGACGUUUAAGCAGUUUUGGCAUUAGGGAAUUUGAAGUAGUAAUCCGUUUCCGGUAAAAUGGAUGCCUUUAUUGUACGCCCUCCGAACCAACGUUGAUGGAGUCCAGUGAUUGCCUUUUCAGCAAAAUCGGCAUUUUCAAAUUUUACAAAUAUCUGCCCCAAUUCAUUCGGUACAACAGCAAUGUGAACUACUUUGCCGUACUUUUCAUCACACUCUUCUUUGACGUCCUGCUCCAAUUCUUGCACCCAAUUAGGUGAUGUUUCCCUUUAAAGGUUAGUCAAUUAUGAAUCAUAAAAAAAACGUACUCAGCAGGAUUAAACAUGUUUUCUAAUAAUGCACAUCUACUACGAAUUGGAGGCUCUGGUUCAGAUACCAGUUUACUGCUUUAUGUUAGAAGACAAAAAGGAUCCAAGUUAAAACAAGACAUACCUGUUGUCUGAAAUGUCUUCAGAGCGUGCUAACUUUUUCAUUAGCUCAUCUCUUGUAAUGGGACGGCUUUCUUCUUCAGUAGGAGAUAAAGGAGCUGCUUCUCGAUAGUCUUGUGAUUCGUAGGUUGAUGAACCGCCAUUACGUUGAGAAGGUUGACUACGUUCUUGGCGAGCCAACGUUUCGUCAAAGCGCUUCAGCAUGGAACUAGUUGUUUCUGUAGUAAAUUUAUCAUUGCCCAAACAAACCCUCAUAUUUCUUCCGGCUAAAUCAAAGCCAUUCAUUUUCUCCAAAGCAUUUCUCGCACUUAUAGGAUUUCGAUAUCUAAAAAAUAUAAUGUUAGUGUCGUUGAAGUUAAAUAGAUAUAAA